CUGUAGCUCAAUGGAUAGAGCAAGGGACUCCUAAGCCCGAGAUCUAGGUUCGAUUCCUAGUGG
rnacentral:tRNA from 1 species